GGCGUGGGGUUCUAAUCUCCAAGUCACUCCCAGUGCUCAGUUGCCUGAGAGUAGAACUGUAUUUGAGAUAUGGAAACUACUAGCUUAUAUAUAAAAAGCAUUGUUACCUGGCUGAGCUCCAGUUCUGCUUCCUGGGUGAUUAGGACCAUCCUCAGCAUCCUGUAUGGACUCGGGCUCUUCCUCCUGUUCCUUCCCUCCCUCCAGAGGGAUUUGCCCUUACAACACCCUUACAAAAGGAGAAAGGUCAGGAAGCAUCAAGUGGAGCCGAGAGGGAGGAGCAGCAGGAAUAGGAAGAAAAGGGCAGCUUUGAAAGAGCUGGCCGGAAGGACCUGACAGAAGUGCGGGGCCAGAUGUCACUUUCACAUCUGGACUUCUUGCCCUUCUCUACUGGACUUCUUGCUCCCAGAGUCUCUGAUGUGGCACCAGGGCUGCAGGAUGUUUUGGGCUGAGCUGGGAGGGGAGCCAUGGGGACAGGGGUGGCAAAAGGCCUGGGGUGAGGGACAACAGGAGAAUUCGGUGAAGUGCAGGUGGGGCCAUGGAGGGCCAUGGGUCUCAAGGGGCCACCCCCGCCUGGCCUGCCCUGCAGUCCCAGGGCCGUUGGCUCCUGGAUGCAGCUUGUGCCUCCUUUUUCCUCAGCUCCCCAGGGAGGCUGUCUUCUAAGGGAUGCUUCCAUCACUUGUCAUCUCAAGACUCCCCGGGGGAGGCCUGCAAGACAGCAUCUGCCAGAGUCCGCCAAUCAUGCGGGAAGCCUGUGGAAGAACCUCCAUCUGACUUGACCAGAAUCCGGCUAAGCCGUGUUGCCACGAGCUCAGCUCCAGCUCACUCCUGUUGGCCAUUUCCCAACUCAGGCCUCAGCCACAUGAGCUGUCGCAUUGAGUUCCUCUCCCAGUGGAACAUGAUCAAGGUCUUGCUCUUCCCCUGGUCAUCACACUUCGAGUCCAAGCAAGGACACCUGUCCUGCCACCAACCAGUGCCCUCAUUCUGGGGAGGCCCCACAAAUAGGGAGGGAGAGACUGAUAGUCCCUCAGUUGCCAACCCUGAUGUCCAGAAGCUACUCGAGACAGAAAUCACAGAAAGAAUACAAACGAAGGUCUGGGGAGAAGAAGAACAAGAUGAUCUAUGCACUCCUCAGAUGCUCGAAGCACACAGUAUCAUGUCUGGGCUGAAUUUCCACUGGGACCUACCCCUCCUGUCCUUGGAGCCUGAAGAUCUGAAAGCAUGUGAGGCUCAACACUCCACCUUUCCACGGUCCCCUUUUCCCCCGCAGCCACCUGUGAUUCUGGGGCCCAAUCGAAAGCUGACUUUGCACAGUUCAUGGGAAAACCUCUUGAGCCUCCUCCAGGUGACAAAGUCUUAACUUUGACAACAAAAGCAUCAGUUCCCAGCCUGGCCUGUCCCCUCCCUGCUGCCUCACCUGUGUAUGAGGAAAAUCAGAAGGCCUUGGGAGGGACCCUACCUUGCAAUGGCAGUGAGCCCUCAGAAGCCUCUCUCUUGGGACACGAGGGCCAGCUGCCUUCUCCAACCUUCACAUUCAGCCUCUCAGAGAGGAAAGGUCAGAGUGGGACCAUCAUGGGGGCUGAGCAAGGCCAUCUAGUGCUGAGUUCAGGGGGCCCAGUGGCCAGGAAUGAGCUUCAGGAAGAGAGUAGGGGUGGGGCCUCACUAGAGCCCUGCCGUGGGGUGGCAACACUGAAGGGGGAGUCAGGGUCCCAGUCUUGGAGCAAGGUCAGGGGAAUAGGAGACACCCUCGGGACCAAACCCCUCCAGGCCCUGCCAGAAAAGGCAGAGGUUUAUCACAACAGCCCUUUCAGAAAAAUGUUGAGACUCCUCCUGCCCUGCCUGAGGCCCAACAAGGAGGAAGCACCAGAAGAUCCCCUUGCAAGGGCAAGCCCAUGUCAGCCGCCGCCCAGAGGCAGGCACGGGUCACACACAGCUCGGCGUCAGAUGGCAGGGCUGUUCAGGCGCCAUCGACAGUGACAUCCUUUGUCCGGGUCCUGGGAGAAAACUGAGGCUUGCAGAGAACUUCUGGCCUCCCAGUCGAAGCAUCGUAAAAACCAUUUCAGGCCUGGGAAGCUGGACAUGCCUGUUACAACGACGUUCCCUCCUCCCCAGAGCAGAGAAGAACAAUGACAGAGGACAGUCCCCAACCUACCUCCAGGGACCAGAACUGUCCGAAUACGAGGUAAUGGAUCAAAACAGGCAUGGCAACUGGACCGUGUCAUCCAGGCAGCCGUGGUCCCCAGCCAAACCCUGCCACCCUGGGCUGAGGGUGGCAGCUGCCUCAGCCAAUCCAUUACCCGUCAUGCUGUCUUCAGAUAUGUGUCUCCUGGGAUGAGUAGCCUGUGCCUGACACACUUUCC
rnacentral:lncRNA from 1 species